rnacentral:rRNA from 1 species
AUGCCCCUGGACUUCACCAAGCACUUCGUCGUGGUGCCGACGGAGUUCAAGCUCAGGAACAACACCGGCUGCUCCUGGAAGGUGACGGUGAAGCUGAUGAACGGCAGGGUGACCCUGGAUCAGGGUUGGGCCACCUAUGCAGCCGUUCAUCAGAUAAAGAUCGGCUACAUGGUGACGUUCAAGCUCCUCACUCCCGACACCCUCAAGGUCAUCAUCUUCGACGACGAUGGCAUUGAGGUCAAGUGCGGGAAGCACGACGAAGCCUUUGACGCCAAGGAGUAG